CGGGUGAGUAACGCGUGGGCAACCUGCCUUACACAGGGGGAUAACACUUAGAAAUAGGUGCUAAUACCGCAUAAGCGCACAGCCUUGCAUGAAGCAGUGUGAAAAACUCCGGUGGUGUAAGAUGGACCCGCGUCUGAUUAGCUGGUUGGCAGGGUAAAGGCCUACCAAGGCGACGAUCAGUAGCCGGCCUGAGAGGGUGAACGGCCACAUUGGGACUGAGACACGGCCCAGACUCCUACGGAAGGCAGCAG
rnacentral:rRNA from 1 species